UACGUAGGGACCGAGCGUUGUCCGGAAUCAUUGGGCGUAAAGAGCGUGUAGGCGCCCCGGUAAGUCCGCUGUAAAAGUCAAAGGCUCAACCUUUGAAUGUCAGUGGAUACUGCCGGGCUAGAGUCCGGAAGAGGCGAGUGGAACUCCUGGUGUAGCGGUGGAAUGCGCAGAUAUCAGGAAGAACACCAACGGCGAAGGCAGCUCGCUGGGACGGUACUGACGCUGAGACGCGAAAGCGUGGGGAGCGAACAGG
rnacentral:rRNA from 1 species